rnacentral:rRNA from 1 species
UACGGGGGGGGCAAGCGUUGUUCGGAAUUACUGGGCGUAAAGCGUGCGUAGACGGUUAUGUAAGUCGGGUGUGAAAGCCCCGGGCUCAACCUGGGAAUGCCAUUCGAGACUGCAUAGCUAGGGUGCGGAAGAGGGAAGCGGAAUUUCAGGUGUAGCGGUGAAAUGCGUAGAUAUCUGAAGGAACACCAGUGGCGAAAGCGGCUUCCUGGUCCAGCACCGACGUUCAGGCACGAAAGCGUGGGGAGCAAACAGG